GGCAGACUAUAACUUUAAUUUCUUGGUUUAUUCCAUCAUUUACAGUGACAGAGCACCCAUGGAAUAACAUUGAAGGCCUUCUGUUUCAAGGAGAUGAUUAGAGCUCACUGAAAAAGUGGGUGAAUUGGUUGGAAGGUGAAUCUCUUCUGUUUAUCAUGGAUCUUAUUUUGGACGGUCUCCAACAUUCAGGGUUUGUUGAAAUCCUUGUGAAUCCAUCUACAAACCUACAAGAGCCUCUUCAGAACCUCAUCAUCCAUGGAGACUCCCUCCUUGGUUUGGGCUGCAGUGGACUCUCUCCACCCCAGUGACCAGCAUGUUUAGCAAAGUUUGUUCCCAUCAUUGGGUGCCAUGCUUGAUAUUAGUAAUCAGAGAAUUGGACAAAA